CUAGUAUUGAGAAUCCCGCGUAUACGAUACCCCGUUGGGUGUUGUUAGUAGUCGUUUUUGGAGCACGAGUAGGAGCAGGAGUAGGGAAACUCUACAUCAACGUGCCGUAGAUAGUCUUGAGGACCUUGAGAUAGUACCUGAUCAUACUAGCAAUUGUAUCAACGGUUAGCUACUAGCAAGAGGAAAUGAUGGUUAGUCUUGGGCGGGUUGUUUAUCUCGGAUAGGCGUGACUAGUGAAAUAAAGUAUCUCAAACUUUCUUAUCUGGUGGAAAUUUUGCG